UACGGAGGGUGCAAGCAUUAAUCGGAUUUAUUGGGCGUAAAGGGCGCGUAGGCGGAAUCCCAAGUUCAGUGUGAAAUUCCGAAGCUCAACUUCGGAGCAGCACUGAAGACUGGGAAUCUAGAGGAUUGGCGGAGAAAAUGGAAUUCCACGUGUAGCGGUGAAAUGCGUAGAUAUGUGGAAGAACACCGGUGGCGAAGGCGAUUUUCUAGCUUAUUCCUGACGCUGAGGCGCGAGAGCAAGGGGAGCAAACAGG
rnacentral:rRNA from 1 species